CCUACGGAGGCUGCAGUGGGGAAUAUUGGACAAUGGGGGCAACCCUGAUCCAGCCAUGCCGCGUGUGUGAAGAAGGCCCUCGGGCUGUAAAGCACUUUCAGUGAGGAAGAACGCCUGGUGGUUAAUACCCAUCAGGAAAGACAUCACUCACAGAAGAAGCACCGGCUAACUCCGUGCCAGCAGCCGCGGUAAUACGGAGGGUGCGAGCGUUAAUCGGAAUUACUGGGCGUAAAGCGCGCGUAGGUGGCUUGAUAAGCCGGUUGUGAAAGCCCCGGGCUCAACCUGGGAACGGCAUCCGGAACUGUCAAGCUAGAGUGCAGGAGAGGAAGGUAGAAUUCCCGGUGUAGCGGUGAAAUGCGUAGAGAUCGGGAGGAAUACCAGUGGCGAAGGCGGCCUUCUGGACUGACACUGACACUGAGGUGCGAAAGCGUGGGUAGCAAACAGGAUUAGAUACCCUAGUAGUC
rnacentral:rRNA from 1 species